rnacentral:rRNA from 1 species
CAUCGAUGAAGAACGCAGCGAAAUGCGAUAAGUAAUGUGAAUUGCAGAAUUCAGUGAAUCAUCGAAUCUUUGAACGCACCUUGCACCCUUUGGUAUUCCGAAGGGUACACCCGUUUGAGUGUCAUUGUAAUCUCACACCCUCAGACUUUUGUCGAAGGGAAGUGGACUUGGAUGUUGUCGUGUCACUACGACUCGUCUCAAAUGCAUGAGUGUACCCUGCGUCCGCAGCGUAUUCGGUGUGAUAAGCAUCUUCACCGGAGUAGUGCCCUCGGGCUCGCGCUUGCAAAUGUUGGGCUCUGCGCUUCAAACCGUCUUCGGACAACAACUGACAAUUUGACCUCAAAUCGGGUGGGACUACCCGCUGAACUUAAGCAUAUCAAUAAGCGGAGGAAAAGAAACU